UAAGGCUACUAGGGGUGCUGUAAAAAGCUGAGAGAGACAAGUGUCUUAACCCUUACACCUGAUCUAGGUAAUGCUAGCGAAGGGAAGUGGUUGGCGAAUUGU
rnacentral:ncRNA from 2 species